GGAGCAAAUAUUUUCUACGUUUAUUAAGAAAUAUAUUAUUCUCUAUUUCCAUACACAUGACUUGAACUUAAGCUCUGCACUAAAUUACAAACUGCUUUUAUCUUUAAAAACCACAAAUACAAAGUGUAGAGUAUUAAGGCUAUUAAUUACCAAAGCAUGUUUUACUGUGGCAGUACUAUAAUUGUAUCUAUUUUAUAUUCUUUGAAAUGCAGUAACAGUACAUUUUUAGAAGAUAGUUACUAAAAUAUCUACUGCUUUUCAUCAAAGAAAAAUAAUUUUUUAACCAUUUUUCUUCAUAAAACCAAAAGUUUACAUCCAGCACAAAAAAUAUAAAAUACAUAAUGCAUCUAUCUUAUUUAAAACAAUAAUCAAAUUCUACACACAGCAUUUACAGGAGAUUUACAGGCAGAUGACUUUAAUAAUACCAUUUUGAUUAGAAACAUUAACAAUCAGCUUCUUUAUCAAGUUGAGGGAUUCUGCACGUAAUGUAUGAACUAGGAAUGCAGAAUCUUACAUAAAAUAGUAGUAGGACCUGAAAAGAUGAUCAUUUAGCACCUUCCAUCUGUACAAGUCCUUUUUGAGUUAAGUUCUGCUGGAGGGCAAGAAUUGCCCCAUGUAACAAACACCGAACCACAUCUACAGGGAUUGCUCCUGAGGUUUGGGAGCAUGACAUGAGUGUUGCCUCAGUGCCCCAAGAAGCACACACCACACACAGGCAUGUGCACUUGGGCACCAUAAUCAAAGGCCAGAUUUCCCUUGGAUUUCAGUGGAUCUGCUCAAUUAACAACCUCACAAAUCAUCAGAGUAGAUGAUGGAGGGGUAUGGGGUGAAUAUCCACUAACAUUCAGAGUGAAGUUAUCCUCCUGAGUUUCCUCCCUGCCGUGUUUUAGCCACCAACUUGAGGACUGCCCUGAGCAGGUUUGUGUACAAAGUUAUUCCUCUUUCUCCUUGAACAAUCCCCCUGAAUAAUAAUGGAAGUGUGGUUAUCUGGCUACUGGCAUACAUCUUCCCACCCCCUCCACUCCUUCCCCCAUAUAAUAAGAAGCCAACGCAGCAUGAGAUUGAUUCAGUUGCUUUGCUCUCUGUACAAAAAGACUAUGAACUGCUGAAUUCACACUUAAUUUAGCUGGUGGAAAAAUGAGCAGAGCUGGUACCAAAGGAAUUCAGUAAUAAGCUUUGAAACUACUGUGCUGGAAGAAGAUCUGCUGCCCUUUGAGCAGAGCUGGAAUGUAGAACAAGAGAGGAUAAUUUUCACAACAUCUUUGCUGUGUCCUUGGCUUGUCAUAUGGAAAAGAAGGGCAGUAUUAAAAAUUAAGCAAACCUCAACUGAGGUCAGAAGCCCUGAGUCUGAAAGGUUGGACCUCUUUUUGCACUUAGGGAUGUUCAGUGCCCUUUAUAUUAGGACAGGAAAAAUAAACAUUCAGGUUUAAUUUUACACUAGACUAGAGUCCUUUUGGUAAUUUUGGAUUUCUGUGUCCUCACCAACAGAAAAUGGUAUGUGCACUGCCUCUUCUCCCACCACUGGCAUGAGCAUGUCAGGGUACUGUUAACUUUCCUCAACAAAUUGGCACAUUUUGCACAGCUGCUUAGCAACAGACACAUUCUAUAUCUAGAUGAAAAAUACUUUUAAAAAAGGUAUUGCAGAAAAGAUGUACCAAGGAGCCUCUCACCUACAGCAACACUGCAAAAAAGUAUCUCCUCC
ensembl:lncRNA